AUUGAACGCUGGCGGCAGGCCUAACACAUGCAAGUCGAACGAGUGGCGGACGGGUGAGUAAUGUCUGGGAAACUGCCCGAUGGAGGGGGAUAACUACUGGAAACGGUAGCUAAUACCGCAUACCAGCGGAUGUGCCCAGAUGGGAUUAGCUAGUGGGUGGGGUAACGGCUCACCAAGGCGACGAUCCCUAGCUGGUCUGAGAGGAUGAGCAGCCACACGGGAACUGAGACACGGUCAAGACUCCAACGGGAGGCAGCAGUGGGGAAUAUUGCACAAUGGGGGCAAGCCUGAUGCAGCCAUGCCGCGUGUGUGAAGAAGGCCUUCGGGUUGUAAAGUACUUUCAGCGAGGAGGCGUUACUCGCAGAAGAAGCACCGGCUAACUCCGUGCCAGCAGCCGCGGUAAUAC
rnacentral:rRNA from 1 species